rnacentral:pre_miRNA from 12 species
CCCUGUUGGGGCUAAAGUGCUGACAGUGCAGAUAGUGGUCCUCUUCGUGCUACCGCACUGUGGGUACUUGCUGCUCCAGCAGGG